rnacentral:rRNA from 1 species
AGUUAACGCUGGCGGCGUGCCUAACACAUGCAAGUCGAGCGAAGAGUGGCAGAGUAUCGCGCUCUUAGCGGCAGACGGGUGAGUAAUACGUAAACUAUCUGCCCUCGAAUGGGAGACAACCAAGCGAAAGUUUGGCUAAUACCCCAUACAAUCCUCUCAGAGCAUUCUGAGGGGAUGAAAGGCCCGCAAGGGUCGUUCGAGGAGGAGUUUACGGCCUAUCAGCUAGUUGGCGGUGUAACGGACCACCAAGGCUAUGACGGGUAGCCGAUCUAAAAGGAUGACCGGCCACAAGGGCACUGAGACACGGGCCCUACUCCUACGGGUGGCUG